AGAGUUUGAUCAUGGCUCAGGAUGAACGCUAGCUACAGGCUUAACACAUGCAAGUCGAGGGGAACGAUAUUGGAAGCUUGCUUCCGAUAGGCGUCGACCGGCGCACGGGUGAGUAACGCGUAUCCAACCUGCCCACCACUUGGGGAUAACCUUGCGAAAGUAAGACUAAUACCCAAUGAUAUCUCUAGAAGACAUCUGAAAGAGAUUAAAGAUUUAUCGGUGAUGGAUGGGGAUGCGUCUGAUUAGCUUGUUGGCGGGGUAACGGCCCACCAAGGCGACGAUCAGUAGGGGUUCUGAGAGGAAGGUCCCCCACAUUGGAACUGAGACACGGUCCCAAACUCCUACGGGGAGGC
rnacentral:rRNA from 1 species